UGUUGAACAACAGAGUUGAAUGUUCGACAUAAAAACACACACCAAAAUAAUUUCAACAUUUGACAGAAAACAGACAAUUGAUGAAUGCAUUUUAAAUUUCAUACAUGUUCAUGCGUCUGUAGCUGCCAAAUUCUGAUCUUUUUACCACUGAUUGGUGUUUUCACCAAUCAGAUCAGCCGUCUUGCCAGCAAAAGCCUUCUAUUUUAUGUUCACCAGCUAAAAAGUCUCCUAUCAGAUUGACCUGUCAGAAUGAUAUCAUGAAUGAUAUCAUCAAUCCAGUGGCCUUUUGUUCUCAUGUGUGUUACAGGAACACUGCUAACCCAACAACAGUACUCGGUGCCUGUACCACAGAAACACUGCUAACCCAACAACAGUACUAGGUGCCUGUACUACAGAAACACUGCUAACCCAACAACAGUGCUAGGUCCCUGUACUACAGAAACACUGCUAACCCAACAACAGUACUCGGUGCCUGUACUACAGAAACACUGCUAACCCAACAACAGUACUUGGUGCCUGUACUACAGAAACACUGCUAACCCAACAACAGUACUAGGUGCCUGUACUACAGAAACACUGCUAACCCAACAACAGUACUAGGUGCCUGUACUACAGAAACACUGCUAACCCAACAACAGUACUAGGUCCCUGUACUACAGAAACACUGCUAACCCAACAACAGUACUAGGUGCCUGUACUACAGAAACACUGCUAACCCAACAACAGUACUUGGUGCCUGUACUACAGAAACACUGCUAACCCAACAACAGUACUAGGUGCCUGUACUACAGAAACACUGCUAACCCAACAACAGUACUCUGUGCCUGUACUACAGAAACACUGCUAACCCAACAACAGUACGAGGUCCCUGUACUACAGAAACACUGUUAACCCAACAACAGUACUCUGUGCCUGUAAUACAGAAACACUGUUAACCCAACAACAGUACUCGGUGCCUGUACUACAGAAACACUGCUAACCCAACAACAGUACUAGGUGCCUGUACUACAGAAACACUGCUAACCCAACAACAGUACGAGAUGCAUGUACUACAGAAACACUGUUAACCCAACAACAGUACUCGGUGCCUGUACUACAGAAACACUGCUAACCCAACAACAGUACUAGGUGCCUGUACUACAGAAACACUGCUAACCCAACAACAGUACUAGGUGCCUGUACUACAGAAACACUGUUAACCCAACAACAGUGCUAGGUCCCUGUACUACAGAAACACUGUUAACCCAACAACAGUACUCUGUGCCUGUACUACAGAAACACUGCUAACCCAACAACAGUACUAGGUGCCUGUACUACAGAAACACUGCUAACCCAACAACAGUACUAGGUGCCUGUACUACAGAAACACUGCUAACCCAACAACAGUACUAGGUGCCUGUACUACAGAAACACUGUUAACCCAACAACAGUACUCGGUGCCUGUACUACAGAAACACUGCUAACCCAACAACAGUACUAGGUGCCUGUACUACAGAAACACUGCUAACCCAACAACAGUACUAGGUGCCUGUACUACAGAAACACUGUUAACCCAACAACAGUACUCGGUGCCUGUACUACAGAAACACUGCUAACCCAACAACAGUACUAGGUGCCUGUACUACAGAAACACUGCUAACCCAACAACAGUACUAGGUGCCUGUACUACAGAAACACUGUUAACCCAACAACAGUACUAGGUGCCUGUACUACAGAAACCCUGCUACCCCAACAACAGUACUAGGUGCCUGUACUACAGAAACACUGUUAACCAAACAACAGUACUCUGUGCCUGUAAUACAGAAACACUGCUAACCCAACAACAGUACGAGAUGCAUGUACUACAGAAACACUGUUAACCCAACAACAGUACUAGGUGCCUGAACUACAGAAACCCUGCUACCCCAACAACAGUACCAGGUGCCUGUACUACAGAAACCCUGUUAACCCAACAACAGUACGAGAUGCCUGUACUACAGAAACACUGCUAACCCAACAACAGUACUAGGUGCCUGUACUUCAGAAACACUGUUAACCAAACAACAGUACUCUGUGCCUGUACUACAGAAACACUGUUAAC